UCCCAUGUAGUGCAGAGGUUUAGCAUACUGGGUUUUCACCUUCCACAGUGGAAUCCCCAGAGACCCGGGUUCGAACCCCGGCGUGGGAA